rnacentral:rRNA from 1 species
AGGGAAUCUUCCACAAUGGACGCAAGUCUGAUGGAGCAACGCCGCGUGAGUGAAGAAGGUUUUCGGACCGUAAAGCUCUGUUGUUGGUGAAGAAGGAUAGAGGUAGUAACUGGCCUUUAUUUGACGGUAAUCAACCAGAAAGUCACGGCUAACUACGUGCCAGCAGCCGCGGUAAUCGUAGGUGGCAAGCGUUGUCCGGAUUUAUUGGGCGUAAAGCGAGCGCAGGCGGAAGAAUAAGUCUGAUGUGAAAGCCCUCGGCUUAACCGAGGAAUUGCAUCGGAAACUGUUUUCUUGAGUGCAGAAGAGGAGAGUAGAACUCCAUGUGUAGCGGUGGAAUGCGUAGAUAUAUGGAAGAAUACCAGUGGCGAAGGCGGCUCUCUGGUCUGCAACUGACGCUGAGGCUCGAAAGCAUGGGUAGCGAACAGGAUUAGAUACCCUGGUAGUCCAUGCCGUAAACGAUGAGUGCUAAGUGUUGGGAGGCUUCCGCCUCUCAGUGCUGCAGCUAACGCAUUAAGCACUCCGCCUGGGGGAGUACAAC